AUCUCCCCCCAGGCUACAUUAUAAUCCACCCAGGCUACAUUAUAAUCCCCCCAGGCUACAUUAUAAUCCACCCCAGACUACAUUAUAAUCCCCCCAGGCUACAUUAUAAUCCACCCAGGCUACAUUAUAAUCCCCCCAGACUACAUUAUAAUCCCCCCAGACUACAUUAUAAUCUCCCCCCAGGCUACAUUAUAAUCCACCCCAGACUACAUUAUAAUCCACCCAGGCUACAUUAUAAUCCACCCCAGACUACAUUAUAAUCCACCCAGGCUACAUUAUAAUCCACCCCAGACUACAUUAUAAUCUCCCUCCAGGCUACAUUAUAAUCCACCCCAGACUACAUUAUAAUCCACCCAGGCUACAUUAUAAUCCCCCCAGGCUACAUUAUAAUCCACCCAGGCUACAUUAUAAUCCCCCCAGGCUACAUUAUAAUCCACCCAGGCUACAUUAUAAUCCACCCCAGACUACAUUAUAAUCCCCCAGACUACAUUAUAAUCCCCCCAGGCUACAUUAUAAUCCCCCCAGGCUACAUUAUAAUCCCCCCAGACUACAUUAUAAUCCCCCCCAGACUACAUUAUAAUCCACCCAGGCUACCAGUAUGUCAGAACUGCAGUACUAUUUAUUGUCAAAACGAGUGAAAACUUGGGUUUCCUGAUUAGAGUAGAGUCAAGUUUCCCCUGAAACUGAUUUGGAGUCAGUCUAGCGUUUCUCCCCAUUAAUGUUUUGUGUCUAACUUGGGGGAGGGGAACCUGAUCCUAGGUCUGUACCUCGGGGGAACUUUCACCCCAGAGCCUCAUGAUAUGGCAGAAACUAGGCUGUGUUGAUGCCAGAAACAAAAAUAAUAUAACUGUAAAAUAACGAACUGUUUUGUCUGGGUAAAACUACAACAUUUCUAGUCCCCUCAGCAGCCGGUGUGGAGUCUGAAGUUAUGAAGCGUUACUAAGUGUUAAGGCAAACGAGCAGAAAAUAAACUCUUGUGAUUAAAA